rnacentral:rRNA from 1 species
UACGUAGGGUGCAAGCGUUAUCCGGAAUUAUUGGGCGUAAAGAGCUCGUAGGCGGUUUGUCGCGUCUGCUGUGAAAACUGGAGGCUCAACCUCCAGCCUGCAGUGGGUACGGGCAGACUAGAGUGCGGUAGGGGAGAUUGGAAUUCCUGGUGUAGCGGUGGAAUGCGCAGAUAUCAGGAGGACACCGAUGGCGAAGGCAGAUCUCUGGGCCGUAACUGACGCUGAGGAGCGAAAGCAUGGGGGAGCGAACAGG